rnacentral:rRNA from 1 species
AGUGAACGCUGGCGGUAGGCCUAACACAUGCAAGUCGAACGGCAGCACAGUAAGAGCUUGCUCUUACGGGUGGCGAGUGGCGGACGGGUGAGGAAUACAUCGGAAUCUACUUUUUCGUGGGGGAUCACGUAGGGAAACUUACGCUAAUACCGCAUACGACCUACGGUUGAAAGCAUGGGAUCUUCGGGCCUUGCGCGAUUGAAUGAGCCGAUGUCGGAUUAGCUAGUUGGCGGGGUAAAGGCCCGCCAAGGCGACGAUCCGUAGCUGGUCUGAGAGGAUGAUCGGCCACACUGGAGCUGAGACACGGUCCAUACUCCUACGGGAGGCAGCAGUGGGGAAUAUUGGACAACGGGCGCAAGCCUUAUCCAGCCAUACCGAGUGGGUGAAGAAGGCCUUCGGGUUGUAAAGCCCUUUUGUUGGGAAAGAAAAGCAGCAGGUUAAUACCCCGCUGUUCUGACGGUACCCAAAGAAUAAGCACCGGCUAACUUCGUG